UACGAAGGGGGCUAGCGUUGUUCGGAAUCACUGGGCGUAAAGGGUGCGUAGGCGGGUCUUUUAAGUCAGGGGUGAAAUCCUGGAGCUCAACUCCAGAACUGCCUUUGAUACUGAAGAUCUUGAGUUCGGGAGAGGUGAGUGGAACUGCGAGUGUAGAGGUGAAAUGCGCAGAUAUCAGGAAGAACACCCGUGGCUAAGGCGGUUCUCUAGUACGGUACUGACGCUGAGACGCGAAAGCGUGGGGAGCGAACAGG
rnacentral:rRNA from 1 species